UACGAAGGGGGCUAGCGUUGCUCGGAAUCACUGGGCGUAAAGGGUGCGUAGGCGGGUCUUUAAGUCAGGGGGGAAAUCCUGGAGCUCAACUCCAGAACUGCCUUUGAUACUGAGGAUCUUGAGUUCGGGAGAGGUGAGUGGAACUGCGAGUGUAGAGGUGAAAUUCGUAGAUAUUCGCAAGAACACCAGUGGCGAAGGCGGCUCACUGGCCCGAUACUGACGCUGAGGCACGAGAGCGUGGGGAGCAAACAGG
rnacentral:rRNA from 1 species